UGGGGAAUUGUUCGCAAUGGGCGCAAGCCUGACGACGCAACGCCGCGUGGAGGAUGAAGAUUUUCGGAUCGUAAACUCCUGUCGAGUGGGAAGAACAGCUCUGGGGCGAACAGGCCUGGAGCCUGACGGUACCACUAAAGGAAGCCCCGGCUAACUCCGUGCCAGCAGCCGCGGUAAUACGGGGGGGGCAAGCGUUGUUCGGAAUUACUGGGCGUAAAGGGCUCGUAGGCGGCCAACUAAGUCGGAUGUGAAAUCCCCAGGCUUAACUUGGGAACUGCGUCGGAUACUGGAUGGCUUGAAUUCGGGAGAGGGAUGCAGAAUUCCAGGUGUAGCGGUGAAAUGCGUAGAUAUCUGGAGGAAUACCGGUGGCGAAGGCGGCAUCCUGGACCGACAUUGACGCUGAGGAGCGAAAGCUAGGGGAGCAAA
rnacentral:rRNA from 1 species